AAUCAUGAGAAAGACAUGACACUUAAUACAAAUGAUAAAUAAAUUGCUAUAAACAAAUAUCCGUGUCAGUAAAGUAAUCUAAAAAAAAAUAGACAAAUGGAAGUAAAUGCAAUACAUGAUUAAUUAAAAAAAAACAAACUAAAAAUGCAUCAACUUGAUUAAAUUGUGAAAAAUUUGUAUCCUAAUCUCGCCAUCAUCAAAUCAAUCUGACGAUGAAUAUCGAUCUAGUAAGAAAAAAUUGUCAAAAGUCCCAAGAGACCCACCACAUCAGCGAUGCAUGAAAGAUCAAGUUUCAAAUGACCUAUCAUUCUGAUCAUCUUGAAUCUAUUACCAUCACUAUUAUCUAUCAUAAUAAAGCUCUUCAAGAUCGGUUCCUAAUAUAAUUGACGUCACCCUUGUAUUGGUAAAUCUCACAUUUAUGUCAGAACAUGACUAAAAGUAAAAAAUUAAAAUUACCUCUGCCUUCAAAGAAAACAAAUGUGAAGUAAACAAAAAAAAUACAAAAUAAAACCACCGAAUUCUGGAUAAAAUAAAAUAAAAUGAUGAAAAACAUGGUGGAGAAGUUGCGACGAACAAAUAAC
rnacentral:lncRNA from 1 species